GCGUGCGUUGCACGUUGCUUCCGAUUCGAUGGUACGCGUUGAUCGAAUGGAAGUUUCGAACAGGUCAGAAAUUAGAUUGCGACUGUUGCCGAUCCACUCUUCUCUCUAUAUUCUGUUCCUUCGACUGACACCGAUCUUGUAUAGUUCGUCUUUGCGCGUGACGAGCGUGACGCACGCGACUUCCCGAGCGUUACUACUUACUGUCUAUCAACCGUGAGUGUAUAUACAGCGAGUAUACAUGCAAUACACGUGACAGCCUCGAGAAUCGAUCGAAUGGAAACUCUUUCUCUAUCCAUAUUCCCGUUGACUCAUGUUUGUCGGCACUGGUUACGCGUUCGUAAAAUUGACCAUAAUUAACAUAGGAAUUUCACCCAAACUCCAUAGCUGUGUUGCAAUGCUUCACAUGCUGAACUACACAGAAACCACUACAGUGGCUGCUUUCCUAUGCUGCACCGGAAGAAACAAACCCUUCGAAACCGGUUUCGAGCUUGUCACUAGCAAUAUCGUGAUUAACUUACGAGUAUAGUUCCGAUACGAAUCCUACUCUUUUAAGACAAUAUAAAAUACUUUUAUCUAAUAAAUGUAUUGUAAUUUACAUGGCAGCGAUAAUAGCUCGAUACCCAGUGAUUCCAACGAUGCCCCUAACGAUGACUUCGUCGAUCCCUACGAUGAUUUAUAAUUUAUGACAGAUAAUUCAUGAAUUAGUUCCAAUUCUUUCUUCCAUACGUGCAAUAAUAUAACCGCCUCUAUCGAUAUGAAAUAAGAUUAAAAUCAUUUUCUUCGUUAGUAUGAAAUUGUAUUAAAUGACGAUCUAUAACAAAUGUAACAUGGAUAUCCACGACCGCAUGUUUGACACCUUGACGUCAACAAAACAUUAUUUUUGGUCGACGAUGUAUAUACAUUUAGCACGGAACUACAUCGUAAAAUCACUAGUAAUAGAAUACCUAUGAUUUUUAGGUAAACUCGUUCGAUAUCGUUUGUCAGUGAACAUUCUCUUUUGAAAACUUGUCGUUUACUUAUCUACAAAAAUAGCCGAAAGAUCGAAGGUAAAGCCAAACUGCAUGUGUACGAACGAUUCCAUUUGUAUGCUAAAUACAUAUAUACUUUGCCAACUUUCGUGUAGAGAGAUCUCGAUUCCUGAACUAUUUUCGUUGGUAGGCGUGUUUCUUGCUGAAACCGGCUUGUGCCAAACGACUCUUCCUUCAACUACGGAUACAUAACACGUAAUACGUAACGAUUCUAUAUAUGUAUUUGUGCAUGAUUAUGGUUGUGUUUAAGAUGGACGAAACUUAUUAAGGAGGAUUACGUCAUUGUUGGAUCAGUGCCUCGAACGACUAGACUGCAUGAUAUACAUAUGUUGCAAUCGCAUCGAUUAUAAAACACAAUGACUCGUGAUUCAUGAUUACUUUAAAACUUAUAAACGCUUAUGAUUGAUUCAGGCAUCUCUGAAUCGGUUAAUAAUAAUUUUUACUUGAGAUAGACAAAACUAUAGGUGUCCGUAGUAUCUUAAACGAAAAGCAUAUUUUCGAUUCUUCUAUGUGAAAAUUCAAUUCUUUGUAAAGUAGCAAACGAUAAAAGUGAACACUAUUUUCUUCUUUUUCCCUAAUUUUCGUUUAUCGAUGAAAUUUAUGUUCCUUCAGGACGAAUGAGAGUAGCCGACGAAUCUUGGAUUUCAAGCUGAAAACGCUAAAAUCGAUCUAAAACGCAUGCCUGUGAUAUUGAUAUGCAAGAGCACGUGGCAUAUACCUUGAACGUUAAUCGAAAAAUAAGUAUAAGACAGAAGGAAGUAUUGACUGCGUUUUCAAGAACGUUCGUCGGUAUUGAAUUAUUCCAACAAGAUCAAGGAUCGAUACGUAUGCUUUAAUAGGAAGCGAGCAUAAUUUACGAUAACGAUGAUAUCGAAUGUAUGUAAUAAAAAUAAGUUUACAAAAUACAAGGAACUUAAUGUUA